rnacentral:lncRNA from 1 species
CAGAAAAUGGGGGGCCCAAGGAGAGGGAGAUAAAUUAAGGAGAGGAAGAAAGAUGAAGGAAGGGUCAGUUGGUGGAGCUAUCGUAACACACACAAUAUUUACUAUUAAGUUCACUGUUUUAUAUGAGUGUGGUUCAUGGCACUCCAAAAUAAUUACAACAGUAACAUCAAAGAUCACUGAUCACAGUUCACCAUAACAGAAAUAACAAGUCUGAAAUAUUGUGAGAAUCACCAAAAUGGGACACAGAGACACGAAGUGAGCACAUGUUGUUGGAAAAUGGCACCAAUAGACUUGCUCCAUGCAGAGUUGCCACAAACUUUCAAUUUGUGAAACAUGCGAUAUCUGCAAAGCACAAUAAAGUGAAGUACAAUUAUGCCUGUAUAUGUGCCCUGUUUAAAUAGCAGCCACUAGCUACAUGCAACUGCUAAGCACUUGAAAUACGGCUAGUGCAAUGGAUGAACUAAAUUUUUCAUUUCAUUUCAUUUAAAUUAGUUUAAAAUUCAAUGAAAUACUCAAGUGGCCAAUGGCUACUGCAUUGGACAGCACAGAUCUACAACUUAAUGGCUAAUGAAUGACCAUAUUCAUCUGUGGAGCAGAGGAGAGUGUCUAAAACAGCAUAGUGACCAAAAUAAUACAAGCCUAAAUAAAAAAGAAUCAUGAUUUAAAAGACUACAAUUUUCAAAACUAUUAAGUCUUGCUUUCUGCAACUUGUGACUUAACACACCUCUUUGACAGAUUCUUGUAUUAUUUCACCAGAAACAGAACAGAAUUCAGUUGUGUUUCACUAAAUACAUGGCUUCAUCUUUUGGGACUUGGUUUCCUCAUCUGUAAAGUGAAGUGGUUGGACUUCGUUAGAUCAUAUUUAAAUUUUUCUUUCAGCUACAGAGUUUGGAAGCACAUUUAAGUGAAUUGCUGGGAAAAACUGUGUGUUUGAUUUUAGGUCUCAUCUGUGAAUUCCUGUCUCAUCAUCAGAAUCUCUCCAACAUGUUUUCCUUUCCCUCUGUACUUCUGACUCCCUCUUAUCUGCCCAUAGUUCAAAAGAUUUCUCCUGUCUGAUAGAUUUAUCCUUCUGCAUUUGUGCUGUCAAAGAGCUUUGUUUAGACAGAGUCCAGACAUACUUGUGUGUUGCUUAUGAAUUCUAAUUAAGAAGGACAACUCCACAUGAGUCAAGGUUAUCUUUAAAAAAAUAGAACUUUAGUCUAAGAUCAGAAAGGAAGAAAAACAUUAUAAAAUAAACUUGGCAAAAAGAACUCCAAAGUUUAAACCAAACUAAGAUGGGAAGCAUAGGAAGCAUGUUUUUCUUUCACAAAAUCAGAUUAAUUCUUAUUUGAAGGGUUCUUUGAGCAUAAAGAAACUGCCAUUGCAGAAAUGCAGAUUUCUGAUGUGGCCACCUUGAGUUUGUUGAAGAAAAACAAUUCUGAAAAUUCACUCAGGUCCCUCUGGCUCCCCAGGUUCUUUGCACCCUGAUAAAGAAAAAGAUUACACAUGCGCCACCUUUUGGAAAAAAUGGGAAUAGCAGCAAAGAGGUCAGAUUCAAAGACCAUUAGCUCUAUUUCACCCUCAAAGGGAAAAACAAAAAGCCAAAUAUCAUUUAUUUUUAUUAUAAUAUUUAAAAGUUAUAUCCCCCAGAGGUUUAUUAAUCAUGUGACAUAGAACUAUUAGUAAAGUCUGAAUCAAAACUUGGAUUUGGUUUUUCUCAUUUUCAAAAUGGUAAUAAGUUGAUUUUGCUUUAAAACAGUAAGUCUGAAAUAACCACAAAAUAGCAAAACACUGUCUCAAAUCCUAAUGUCACAGUUUUCAUUUAUCCUUGGUCAUGGAUAUAGAUCUACGGGGAAAAUUAAUUGUUUCUAUUUAUUCUAUCCUAGUUACAAUAAUCCUUAACUUUAAGUAUUGUACCUCCCUUUUUCUUAGUACUUAGAGUAGAAAACCAGAGAAGCAAAUCCAUUUAUUUUACUAGAAAGAAAAUUCUUACUUGUUUUAUCUAGAACCAUGAAAAAGAAGUGGUAUCACAAAUCUGCUUAGUUUUUUUGGACUUGAAGCGUAGAGUCGAAGGCUUUUGAGAUUCCACAAUGCUUGGGAGAAAAUGUGGAUGUCUCCAGGGAGGCCAUACCUAAUGAGGAGCUCCCAACAAAUGGCAACUGAUGUUACCUACAACCGAAUACGUCAAGAAGGAGCUUUGCCCAUGCGUUCUGCCACCUUCUGCCAGGAAUUACACCUGUCCCAUCCCGUCGUCUCCUGAAUGUCCAGGCUCUUGCAUCUAUGAAGUAAGCCUUCCUUUUUAAUCAUGAUGGGCACGUGCACUAAGAGAAACAUGGACCUGUUUUUAACCCUUGAUGUUGAGAACACAGAGAAAAGGUGAAGAGAUUAUCAACUAACUGGGGAAA